rnacentral:lncRNA from 1 species
UUUUUUUUUUUUGUAUUGUUACUGUAACAGUUUCCCAAUAGAUGGCAGUCAACGAUUUCCAGAAAGGGAAGCCUUCUUUUAAUUUUCCUGACGCCACUUUGCCCCUGGGUGAUGUCUCUAUUGAUAAACAAAUUCCCUUCCCCUCGCAGCAAUUCUGUUGGAAACAGGAAUUGAGCGGGAAUCGCUUUGGAGGAGAGACCCACCCCUACCACCUUCCUUUUCGUUUCUUCCUACGCCUCCUCAUCCUCCCCAACCAAGGAGUUCGCUUCACUGUCCAGGCACAGUCUGGGGUCCGAUAAAUGGGGGUGGAUGGGAUAGGGAGGGGUUGGGCUAAACAUCUGAGGAGCAACCAACCUAAAGACUUCCUAGACCUCUUCCGGUUCUUUGUCCCAGAGUCGGGGUCUUUCAGCCUCCGGGGUAUUAGGCCACCUCCCACUUUCUGUAACGCCGACUGUUGGCGCGGUUGGAGGGAGAAAGGCACCAAGACCGGGACCUGGAGGACAGACCAAAAAGUUGCGAACUGACGGCACCUACUGGCAACCUCUAAGACUGCAGGAACUUGAAGUUUGUAUCUAGCUAAAAGGCUAAAAGUCACCACUUAUGUCACUUCUUGGAGCUCCUGUGGGAACAAGAUGGACCGAUAAGGACAGUUCUGAAGUCCACCACCCAACUUGCAGGCCAGACAGCAAACCCAAGAUGAAUAGAAACCUGCAUUGCUAAGAACCCAUCCCAGAUUACAGGAGCUCUCCUGAUGGUGCGACCUGUGUCUCCCCCACCUUACUGGGACUCUUACGGUUUAGCGUGCCUCUCAGCAGGAGAAGCUGGUCAAGGAGAAUAGCAUAAACAGAAGUCAGAGCGGGGCUCUGAGUGUAAGUUGUCGCAGAUCUGCUACUUAGCAUCCUUUUAUAAAAAAAAAAGAUUUAUUGGU